CCCUACGGGGGGCAGCAGUAGGGAAUCUUCCACAAUGGGCGAAAGCCUGAUGGAGCAACGCCGCGUGGGUGAAGAAGGUCUUCGGAUCGUAAAGCUCUGUUGGUAGUGAAGAAAGAUAGAGGUAGUAACUGGCCUUUAUUUGACGGUAAUUACUUAGAAAGUCACGGCUAACUACGUGCCAGCAGCCGCGGUAAUACGUAGGUGGCAAGCGUUGUCCGGAUUUAUUGGGCGUAAAGCGAGUGCAGGCGGUUCAAUAAGUCUGAUGUGAAAGCCUUCGGCUCAACCGGGAAAUUG
rnacentral:rRNA from 1 species